rnacentral:rRNA from 1 species
GAUGAACGCUGGCGGCGUGCCUAACACAUGCAAGUCGAACGGAGUUAUUAUUAUGAAGUUUUCGGAUGGAUUAAUAAUAACUUAGUGGCGGACGGGUGAGUAACGCGUGGGUAACCUGCCUCAUACAGGGGGAUAACAGUUGGAAACGGCUGCUAAAACCGCAUAACAUUGCGAUGUCGCAUGACAAUGAAAUUAAAUAUUUAUAGGUAUGAGAUGGGCCCGCGUCUGAUUAGCUAGUUGGUGGGGUAAUGGCCUACCAAGGCGACGAUCAGUAGCCGGCUUGAGAGAGUGACCGGCCACAUUGGGACUGAGACACGGCCCAAACUCCUACGGGAGGCAGCAGUGGGGAAUAUUGCACAAUGGGGGAAGCCCUGAUGCAGCGACGCCGCGUGAGUGAAGAAGUAUUUCGGUAUGUAAAGCUCUAUCAGCAGGGAAGAAAAUGACGGUACCUGACUAAGAAGCCCCGGCUAACUACGUGCCAGCCGCCGCCGUAA